GAACAGAUAAGGAGCUUGCUCCUUUGACGUUAGCGGCGGACGGGUGAGUAACACGUGGGUAACCUACCUAUAAGACUGGAAUAACUCCGGGAAACCGGGGCUAAUGCCGGAUAACAUAUAGAACCGCAUGGUUCUAUAGUGAAAGAUGGUUUUGCUAUCACUUAUAGAUGGACCCGCGCCGUAUUAGCUAGUUGGUAAGGUAAUGGCUUACCAAGGCGACGAUACGUAGCCGACCUGAGAGGGUGAUCGGCCACACUGGAACUGAGACACGGUCCAGACUCCUACGGGAGGCAGCAGUAGGGAAUCUUCCGCAAUGGGCGAAAGCCUGACGGAGCAACGCCGCGUGAGUGAUGAAGGGUUUCGGCUCGUAAAACUCUGUUAUUAGGGAAGAACAUAUGUGUAAGUAACUGUGCACAUCUUGACGGUACCUAAUCAGAAAGCCACGGCUAACUACGUGCCAGCAGCCGCGGUAAUACGUAGGUGGCAAGCGUUAUCCGGAAUUAUUGGGCGUAAAGCGCGCGUAGGCGGUUUCUUAAGUCUGAUGUGAAAGCCCACGGCUCAACCGUGGAGGGUCAUUGGAAACUGGGAAACUUGAGUGCAGAAGAGGAAAGUGGAAUUCCAUGUGUAGCGGUGAAAUGCGCAGAGAUAUGGAGGAACACCAGUGGCGAAGGCGACUUUCUGGUCUGUAACUGACGCUGAUGUGCGAAAGCGUGGGGAUCAAACAGGAUUAGAUACCCUGGUAGUCCACGCCGUAAACGAUGAGUGCUAAGUGUUAGGGGGUUUCCGCCCCUUAGUGCUGCAGCUAACGCAUUAAGCACUCCGCCUGGGGAGUACGACCGCAAGGUUGAAACUCAAAGGAAUUGACGGGGACCCGCACAAGCGG
rnacentral:rRNA from 1 species